rnacentral:other from 1 species
AACAAUCUGCGGUGUUCGGAGUUCGGUUUUUUUGCGGAAUCCACAGUAUUUAUUCGGGAGUUGCGAUUCGGGGCGAUAGGCAAGGUCUGUUUUACGGAAAGUCCGAUGCGUCAAGAUCCGACACCCACCUGCUUUUUGCGGGUUCACCCUGAACCGAGGUGCGGCACAGGCGGAUUUCUU